rnacentral:rRNA from 1 species
CCUACGGGAGGCAGCAGUGAGGAAUAUUGGUCAAUGGGCGAGAGCCUGAACCAGCCAAGUCGCGUGAGGGAGUACUGCCCUAUGGGUUGUAAACCUCUUUUGUUGGGGAGCAAAAGCCGGACGUGUCCGGCUGUGAGAGUACCCGAAGAAAAAGCAUCGGCUAACUCCGUGCCAGCAGCCGCGGUAAUACGGAGGAUGCGAGCGUUAUCCGGAGUUAUUGGGUUUAAAGGGUGCGCAGGCGGAUUUUUAAGUCAGCGGUCAAAUCGGGGGGCUAAACCCCCUCCAGCCGUUGAAACUGGGGAGCUAGAGUGUGCGAGGGGUAUGCGGAAUGCGGGGGGGAGCGGUGAAAUGCAUAGA